AUUGAACGCUGGCGGCGUGCUUAACACAUGCAAGUCGAACGUGAAAGUCCUUCGGGAUGAGUAAAGUGGCGCACGGGUGAGUAACGCGUGGAUGAUCUACCGUAAAGAUGGGGAUAACGGCUGGAAACGGUCGCUAAUACCGAAUACGCUUCAUAUAACCAUGAGGGAAAGAGGGCUUAGGGGCAACCCGCUCUCGCUUUAUGAUGAGUCCGCGUCCCAUUAGCUAGUUGGCGGGGUAAGAGCCCACCAAGGCGACGAUGGGUAGCCGGUCUGAGAGGAUGACCGGCCACACUGGAACUGGAACACGGUCCAGACUCCUACGGGAGGCAGCAGUGGGGAAUAUUGCGCAAUGGGCGAAAGCCUGACGCAGCGACGCCGCGUGAGGGAUGAAGGUCUUCGGAUCGUAAACCUCUGUCAGGAGGGAAGAAAUGUUUAUGGGUUAAUACCCUAUAAGUUUGACGGUACCUCCAAAGGAAGCACCGGCUAACUCCGUGCCAGCCGCCGCAGUAA
rnacentral:rRNA from 1 species